CCAUGAUGUGUCCCAGUAUUUUUGUCCAUAUAGUUUAUAAACAUCAGUUUUUACUUAAAGUUUAAUGGGAGAUUUUUCUUCCUAAGUGAGAUGUGAAGAAAGUAGAAGGUGAGUUGUGUUAGAAAAUUGUUAUUUAUAGUCACAGCAAGUAAAAUAUUUUAGAAAUGUA